CGCGAGAGCAUUUGCAUCCUCGUGCCCAGCAGGUUUUUACCGAUAGCUUUAUUCUCGUACCAGGUCGUGUCGCUCUCACCGCAGUGAUCCCGCGGGCGCUGGAAGAAUGCUUUACAAAGAGGAUUGCGCUUAGAGAGAACCCCUAGGCUACCACUGUCUCACUAUGAACGGCACAGAGCUGAGGUUUGGCUCUGGAGAAUAAGGCAGAUGUUUGUCUCCGGCUCUGCGCCUCAGAGAAAGGCAACGCAUGAGGAAGCGGAUUUUAGAGCUCAGUAGGGCUCAAAGCUAGAGGAAGCCUAAAAAAACAGCUCUAUUCAUCCAUCAGCGAAUCAGGAGUGAUCAUCUGACUUAUUAACUUUAUACGAGCACACAUAUAUCCCCGUGUGAGGAUGAGCCACCAUUUUGAAACGAGAGACCUCUCUUCUUUUGUCUCAUUCUGUCAUUCCUGCCCACAGGCAUGUCACCAGAAACAGCUCUGACAUCUCUCAAAGGAAAGAAGAGAGAGAGAGAUAGAGAGAGAGAGAGAAAGUAAAAAAAUAAAUAAAUAAACCUUCCCUUUCACAUUUUAAAUUCUUGUUACCAGAGCCCAUUUCACACCUAGAUACCCAAUUAGCAAUUAGCAAAGCUUUAAAGUGCAGUCCUGAGCCGGGGCCCUGAUCCCGGCCUGAUUUGUAUGCGCUUUGUGCAGAUAGCGAUAAGAGAGAGGCUGAAUACAUGUAUAGUUUUAAAUUUAAUUUCAUAAUCAUUUGCAUGGCAGGGUAGCCUGCGGGCAAGAGGGAAAAUAACAUGCCCGCUCUUCAAAAGGGAGAUCAGGCUCGUUACAUAGCUGUGUGGAGGAUUGGAGAGGGGCUUUUUAUGUGCAGGCAGGUAAUUUGUUCCCUGACUAAUCUAAAGAGAUAGAGAAGUUCAGAGGAAGCACUUUUUAAAAAACAGUGUGAGCGCAGCAUCACAAAUCGCCUCUACCUCCGAGGCUUGGGAGAGAAUGAAAGAGAGAGAGAGGAACACCAAGGUGCGAUAUAGCUGAACCUACUGCCAGAGCCCAAGGCUGUCAAAAAAAAAGUAACUACUGAAUGUGUGAGUGUGUCUGGGUAUGUACAGUUUCGAGAGAGACAGAAACCAUAUCUGAGCGUGCCAACGCAAUGCAUUAGAGAUUUUGCAUCUUCGCAAGAGCACCGGCCGCAAUGUAUGUAGCAUUUCAAUAAAGCACCUGUUAGGUUUUUAGUACGGCAUCCUGUAAAGUGAUCAAAUGCAUUGCUGCCUAGAUGGAUCAACAGUCUGUAGCUCAACUGGUAGAACGUCACAUUAUCAAUGCAAAGAUCACAGGUUCUGAUUGGGAUUAAAAAUGUAUACUUGCAAACUAAGUAAUGUGUCCAAGUAAAG